rnacentral:rRNA from 1 species
GAUGAACGCUGACAGAAUGCUUAACACAUGCAAGUCAACUUGAAUUUGGGUUUUUAACUUAGAUUUGGGUGGCGGACGGGUGAGUAACGCGUAAAGAACUUGCCUCACAGCUAGGGACAACAUUUAGAAAUGAAUGCUAAUACCUGAUAUUAUGAUUUUAAGGCAUCUUAGAAUUAUGAAAGCUAUAAGCACUGUGAGAGAGCUUUGCGUCCCAUUAGCUAGUUGGAGAGGUAACAGCUCACCAAGGCGAUGAUGGGUAGCCGGCCUGAGAGGGUGAACGGCCACAAGGGGACUGAGACACGGCCCUUACUCCUACGGGAGGCAGCAGUGGGGAAUAUUGGACAAUGGACCGAGAGUCUGAUCCAGCAAUUCUGUGUGCACGAUGAAGUUUUUCGGAAUGUAAAGUGCUUUCAGUUGGAAAGAAAGAAAUGACGGUACCAACAGAAGAAGUGACGGCUAAAUACGUGCCAGCAGCCGCGGUAAUACGUAUGUCACGAGCGUUAUCCGGAUUUAUUGGGCGUAAAGCGCGUCUAGGUGGUUAUGUAAGUCUGAUGUGAAAAUGCAGAGCUCAACUCUGUAUUGCGUUGGAAACUGUAUAACUAGAGUACUGGAGAGGUAAGCGGAACUACAAGUGUAGAGGUGAAAUUCGUAGAUAUUUGUAGGAAUGCCGAUGGGGAAGCCAGCUUACUGGACAGAUACUGACGCUAAGCGCGAAAGCGUGGGUAGCAAACAGG